CAACAUACAUCUGAGGAGAAAUGAAAUUGUCUCUGACAUGUUUGUUGGCUGUACUUUUCAAACCAAUAUUUAUGGAACGUUUAUGUCUCAUAAGAGAAGCCGACACACACCUCAUAACCUAACUGAUUUUAUUCCUGGUAUUGUGUUAACAACUACAUUAGCAUCACCAUCCUUACAUGAUUCUUCAGCUGAUUGCCAGGAUGAGGAGUUUGUGGAAGAGGAAGUUUCUGUUGCACCCCUAGAUAAAUGCAGAAUUUAAGCACAUUACCACCGGGCCCCUGCAAUCCAGAUUUCUGUCACAGCUGGAUGUCCGAUCUGACAAACUUCUAAAGCUGUUCGAAAAACGAGGAGGACAGAUAGGCAAGCGUCUUGAGAGAACUUUGGCCCCCAUGACUCAAGCAUGCAAACUAGUCACCUUUCGGCGAAAUUCGCAGUUUUGAAGACAAAAUUGACCACUUGUGUGAUUCGUGGAGAUCCGUUGAGAAAACAUUUGCGGGGGGGGGUCUGAUGGCCAGCCAUGGAGUGCAUGUAGCGCCUGCUAAUACAUUCUCAAUGGAGAGGCGAG